rnacentral:rRNA from 1 species
CAGCAGCCGCGGGAAUACGGAGGGUGCAAGCGUUAAUCGGAAUUACUGGGCGUAAAGCGCACGCAGGCGGUCUGACAAGUCAGAUGUGAAAUCCCCGGGCUUAACCUGGGAACUGCAUUUGAAACUGUCAGGCUGGAGUCUUGUAGAGGGGGGUAGAAUUCCAGGUGUAGCGGUGAAAUGCGUAGAGAUCUGGAGGAAUACCGGUGGCGAAGGCGGCCCCCUGGACAAAGACUGACGCUCAGGUGCGAAAGCGUGGGGAGCAAACAGGAUUAGAGACCCGCGUAGUCCCUGUCUCUUAUAC